CUUGACUUGGAGAGAAAAAAUAUCAGAGGAAGAGCUACUUGGCCGGAGAUACACCUUGUUUGAGACACACCAUCAAGGGAGUAAGAAGCUUUGUAAGGUGACCAGUAUGCCACUGAGUCCUGUCUGUGAUACACAGCUUCAUUCAUUUUACUUUAUGAGGACGUCAUCGGUCAGUUCUUGCAAAAUUCCAAGGAGGCAGAAAGGCUGCUUGAUUGAGACUCAUUUCCCCUGGCUGUGGACUGACUUUAUUAUCCAUAAUUAAUGCUAAAACACUUCAGUUUUCUUUUGGGGAUCCACCCCUCUCCGGGGGUGACAGUCAAAGUGUAUAACAACUGGAAUGACAUGGGUAUUACCACACCCACACAAUCGGAAUGGAUGCUGACUGUGACACCUGCUGAACCCAGAUUCGCUCAUCAGAUACUGUUUUGAUGAGUCCUGACAUCAAGAUGCCCUGGCCUUCCUUCUCUAAGGGCCAAGCAUGGACCGAGCUAAGCCAAACAGAUCCUCUGCCCUGAGAAUUUGCAUGCUGACAGGCAACACACGCAAGGGCCAAAAACAUGUGGCACAGGUGGGUCCCAAACGUGUUGCCUGGAAAUGCCAGCUCGUGUACCCUGCUUCCUGUCCUUUCCAAGACCUCAUUGUUCAGCUUUUCCUUUGUUCUAUAAACUAUAUCCAUUCAAUAAAUUUUAUUUAUUGACUUA